GUCCACGCCGUAAACUAUGGAUGCUAGCUGUUAGAAGUAUCGACCCUUCUAGUAGCGAAGCUAACGCGUUAAGCAUCCCGCCUGUGGAGUACGGUCGCAAGACUAAAACAUAAAGGAAUUGACGGGGACCCGCACAAGCGGUGGAGCGUGUUGUUUAAUUCGAUGAUAAGCGAAGAACCUUACCCAGGCUUGACAUCCUUGGAAGCACUGCGAAAAGCAGAGUGUGCCUUCGGGAACCAAGUGACAGGUGAUGCAUGGCCGUCGU
rnacentral:rRNA from 1 species